rnacentral:rRNA from 1 species
GACGAACGCUGGCGGCGUGCCUAAUACAUGCAAGUAGAACGCUGAAGAGAGGAGCUUGCUCUUCUUGGAUGAGUUGCGAACGGGUGAGUAACGCGUAGGUAACCUGCCUGGUAGCGGGGGAUAACUAUUGGAAACGAUAGCUAAUACCGCAUAAAAUGGAUUAUCGCAUGAUAAUCCAUUGAAAGGUGCAAAUGCAUCACUACCAGAUGGACCUGCGUUGUAUUAGCUAGUUGGUGGGGUAACGGCUCACCCAGGCGACGAUACAUAGCCGACCUGAGAGGGUGAUCGGCCAAACUGGGACUGAGACACGGCCCAGACUCCUACGGGAGGCAGCAGUAGGGAAUCUUCGGCAAUGGACGGAAGUCUGACCGAGCAACGCCGCGUGAGUGAAGAAGGUUUUCGGAUCGUAAAGCUCUGUUGUAAGAGAAGAACGAGUGUGAGAGUGGAAAGUUCACACUGUGACGGUAUCUUACCAGAAAGGGACGGCUAACUACGUG